GGGGGCAGAUGCAAGAUAGAAAGGCUUAAAAUACAGUGUACCCGUGUAUGAAAUUCUCAAAUAGAAAACAUAGUUAUCCCCAAAUAAAAGAAUUAUUUAAAAAACCUAAGCUCAGAGCUGCAGGUAUAGCUCCGUGGUGAGAAUUUGCAGGUAAAUAUACUCCCUGGAUUUGAUUCUCAGCCCCAUGGAAGGGUUGUGAAGGGAGGGGAACCUUGUAAGCAAUGUGAGCUCAAGGCAAGCCAAGUAAACUGUAAAGGAACUGAUGCCACAUGAUAGCAUUGAUGAGAACCUUAAAGCACUCAAAGCAAUAUGAAAUGUUGAUACAUAGCAUGUAUUUAAUUAAGAUGUAACAACAUUCAAAAGAAUGAUGCUUUAUUUAAAGUAGAAAGUGAAAAAGAAUAUACAUUCAAUUAAAUUGAAUAUAUCAAACUUAUUUUUCUUUUUUCUUGGAUAUUUUCUUUAUUUACAUUUCAAAUGUUAUCCCCUUUCCCAAUUUCCACCCCCUCCCAGAAACCAACUAUCCCAUUCCCCCUCCCCCUGCUUCUAUGAGGCUGUUCACCCACCCACCUACUCCUGCCUCCCUGCCCUCAAUUCCCCUAGCCAUCUAUCGAGCCUUCAUAUGACCAAAGACCUCUCCUCCCACUGAUGCCUGACAAGACCGUCCUCUGCUACAUAUGCAGCUGGAGCCAUGUGUACUCCUAUGUAUGUGCAUGUGCAUACAAGUUUCCUCUGAGUCCAGAGGGUUGGAGUUACAGGCAGCUGUAGAUGCCCAAUAUGAGUUCUGUGAACUGAACUUGGUUCCUCUGAGAAGACAUCCUGUGAUUUUUAACUAGUCACCACCAAAGCCCUCCAGCAUCCUGCAACAUUGAAAAUUAAAGUGUCUACAGUUUGGGUGAUCUGUCCCUCUGGUCGCUGUUCUCCAUGAUCAUUGCCAACUGUUGACUGUGUUGUAGAACAACUCACCCCAGUGCUUAGUGGCUUAAAAUCAAAGCCAUUUAUUAUAAUUUUUUUCAAGUUGACAGUUCCUUGGGUGAUUCUGCAGAUGUGUUGGUCAUGAUUAAUGUCUGCUAGGCUUAUCCAGCUGACUACAGCAGUCACCAUAUGCUUGGUGAGACCUUCUGUAAACACUUCACGAUAAGAGGAGGAAGAUGAAAGAUUCCAGAGGUUCAGGAUUGCUCCAAAGUUUCCUGAUAAGGGGAGUAAAGGCAAAUUGCGGAGUGACGACAGACAUUGAUCACCAAACAGAGAGGUUGAGAAUCUUCAGGCAGUGAUGGAAAAGGAUGGGAGAAGACACAGGAGGCCUGCCCGGGAGCCAGGAACACAAGCCUGGUCAACAGGCGGUCUGACAAAUAUUCCCAGAGUAAAACUUGGUAGACUGGCUACUUGCUUCCUGUAAAUCUUUGUAGCUAGAGAGUUAGUUUUCCUUUGGAAAGAAUAGUCUGGCUGAGAAGUUAAGGAAAAGGCUAGCACUUAGAAAAUACUCAGUUAUACAAUUAUGUUGUCAUGAUUCAUUUUCAUGACAUAUACCAUAUAUACUCUGUAAAGACUGGAGAUGUAGUUCAGUUGGUGGAAUACUUGCCCGGCUUGCAAGAAGCUCUGGUUCGAUCUGUAGCACUGCCUAAACUGCCCACAGUGGUGGAUCCCUAUUUAGCAUCCGCACUCAGGAGAGGGAAGCAGGAAGAUCAGAAGUUUAAGAUCAUCUUCUACUACAUUAUGAGUUCUAGGCCAGCCUGGGUGACAUGAAACUCUCUCUCUCAAACAUACAAAACAAAACA